AAAUAUUAUGGCCCAGCUGUGACAUGGGAGGCUUCCGGCCUGGCGACAUUUUUCACGCCGAGAGCACCAUCACAGUUAUGCUAAUUUCGUUUGAUUAUGCUACUGACAUCUUACCCUUAUAACUUAUGCCUAAUAACGUGAAUGCAGCUCCUAUUGUUGACCUCAUUUAGUUUAUAAGUCCUCAACACACUGUUAUUUAUACUAUGUCUAGGCAAC